rnacentral:tRNA from 1 species
GUCAGGAUGGCCGAGUGGUCUAAGGCGCCAGACUCAAGCUCUGCUUCCUCGGAUAGAGGGUUCUGGUCUCCGAAUGGAGGCGUGGGUUCGAAUCCCACUUCUGACA